CAUUGGCUCAACCAANGUAUGCUUUGGAAACUGUUAGACUNGAGUGCAGAAGGGGAGAGUGGAAUNCCAUGUGUAGCGGUGAAAUGCGUAGAUAUAUGGAGGAACACCGGUGGCGAAAGCGGCUCUNUGGCCUGUCACUGACGCUGAGGCUCGAAAGCGUGGGUAGCGAGCAGGAUUAGAUACCCUGGUAGUNCACGCCGUAAACGCUGAGUGCUAGGUGUUAGGUCCUUUCCGGGACUUAGUGCCGACGCUAACGCAUUAAGCACUCCGCCUGGGGAGUACGACCGCAAGGUUGAAACUCAAAGGAAUUGACGGGGGCCCGCACAAGCGGUGGAGCAUGUGGUUUAAUUCGAAGCAACGCGAAGAACCUUACCAGGUCUUGACAUCCCGAUGCCCGCUCUAGAGAUAGAGUUUUUCUUCGGAACAUCGGAGACAGGUGGUGCAUGGUUGUCGUCAGCUCGUGUCGUGAGAUGUUGGGUUAAGUCCCGCAACGAGCGCAACCCUUAUUGUUAGUUGCCAUCAUUAAGUUGGGCACUCUAGCGAGACUGCCGGUAAUAAACCGGAGGAAGGUGGGGAUGACGUCAAAUCAUCAUGCCCCUUAUGACCUGGGCUACACACGUGCUACAAUGGUUGGUACAACGAGUCGCAAGCCGGUGACGGCAAGCUAAUCUCUGAAAGCCAAUCUCAGUUCGGAUUGUAGGCUGCAACUCGCCUACAUGAAGUCGGAAUCGCUAGUAAUCGCGGAUCAGCACGCCGCGGUGAAUACGUUCCCGGGCCUUGUACACACCGCCCGUCACACCACGAGAGUUUGUAACACCCAAAGUCGGUGAGGUAACCA
rnacentral:rRNA from 1 species